rnacentral:lncRNA from 1 species
GUCCCACUGGGUUUUCCUUGCAAGGUUUUUAACGAGGCAACCAAUAAGCGCAUAUUCAAACAUGUGUACUCUUUUUCCUUUUCUAUAAUUUUUUUCCUAUUGGGUUUUGUUUUAGUUAAGGUUUUAACGAGGCACAUUAUUGAAUAGACAUUCAAGGGUGAGUGUUAUAAAAUCUCCUAUUUUAGGUGAAUGUCCAUAAUUAGUGAGAUUCUAGGGUUUACUUCUCCCUAUAAAUAAAGGGGUCUUCUACCAUUGUAAACCAUCCC